GAUGAACGCUGGCGGCGUGCCUAAUACAUGCAAGUCGAGCGAACGGACGAGAAGCUUGCUUCUCUGAUGUUAGCGGCGGACGGGUGAGUAACACGUGGAUAACCUACCUAUAAGACUGGGAUAACUUCGGGAAACCGGAGCUAAUACCGGAUAAUAUUUUGAACCGCAUGGUUCAAAAGUGAAAGACGGUCUUGCUGUCACUUAUAGAUGGAUCCGCGCUGCAUUAGCUAGUUGGUAAGGUAACGGCUUACCAAGGCAACGAUGCAUAGCCGACCUGAGAGGGUGAUCGGCCACACUGGAACUGAGACACGGUCCAGACUCCUACGGGAGGCAGCAGUAGGGAAUCUUCCGCAAUGGGCGAAAGCCUGACGGAGCAACGCCGCGUGAGUGAUGAAGGUCUUCGGAUCGUAAAACUCUGUUAUUAGGGAAGAACAUAUGUGUAAGUAACUGUGCACAUCUUGACGGUACCUAAUCAGAAAGCCACGGCUAACUACGUGCCAGCAGCCGCGGUAAUACGUAGGUGGCAAGCGUUAUCCGGAAUUAUUGGGCGUAAAGCGCGCGUAGGCGGUUUUUUAAGUCUGAUGUGAAAGCCCACGGCUCAACCGUGGAGGGUCAUUGGAAACUGGAAAACUUGAGUGCAGAAGAGGAAAGUGGAAUUCCAUGUGUAGCGGUGAAAUGCGCAGAGAUAUGGAGGAACACCAGUGGCGAAGGCGACUUUCUGGUCUGUAACUGACGCUGAUGUGCGAAAGCGUAGGGAUCAAACAGGAUUAGAUACCCUGGUAGUCCACGCCGUAAACGAUGAGUGCUAAGUGUUAGGGGGUUUCCGCCCCUUAGUGCUGCAGCUAACGCAUUAAGCACUCCGCCUGGGGAGUACGACCGCAAGGUUGAAACUCAAAGGAAUUGACGGGGACCCGCACAAGCGGUGGAGCAUGUGGUUUAAUUCGAAGCAACGCGAAGAACCUUACCAAAUCUUGACAUCCUUUGACAACUCUAGAGAUAGAGCCUUCCCCUUCGGGGGACAAAGUGACAGGUGGUGCAUGGUUGUCGUCAGCUCGUGUCGUGAGAUGUUGGGUUAAGUCCCGCAACGAGCGCAACCCUUAAGCUUAGUUGCCAUCAUUAAGUUGGGCACUCUAAGUUGACUGCCGGUGACAAACCGGAGGAAGGUGGGGAUGACGUCAAAUCAUCAUGCCCCUUAUGAUUUGGGCUACACACGUGCUACAAUGGACAAUACAAAGGGCAGCGAAACCGCGAGGUCAAGCAAAUCCCAUAAAGUUGUUCUCAGUUCGGAUUGUAGUCUGCAACUCGACUACAUGAAGCUGGAAUCGCUAGUAAUCGUAGAUCAGCAUGCUACGGUGAAUACGUUCCCGGGUCU
rnacentral:rRNA from 1 species